CGGAGGUGCAAGCGUUAAUCGGAAUUACUGGGCGUAAAGCGCACGCAGGCGGUUUGUUAAGUCAGAUGUGAAAUCCCGGGCUCAACCUGGGAACUGCAUUUGAAACUGGCAAGCUAGAGUCUCGUAGAGGGGUAGAAUUCCAGGUGUAGCGGUGAAAUGCGUAGAGAUCUGGAGGAAUACCGGUGGCGAAGGCGGCCCCUGGACGAAGACUGACGCUCAGGUGCGAAAGCGUGGGGAGCAAACAGGAUU
rnacentral:rRNA from 1 species